rnacentral:tRNA from 1 species
GGAUUGUGGCUCAGUGGUGCAGCGCUCGCCUAGCACAGGCGGGACCCGAGUUCGAUCCUCAGCACCA